UACGUAGGGGGCAAGCGUUAUCCGGAUUUACUGGGUGUAAAGGGAGCGUAGACGGCAGUGCAAGUCUGGAGUGAAAGGCGGGGGCUCAACCCCCGGACUGCUCUGGAAACUGUACGGCUGGAGUGCAGGAGAGGUAAGUGGAAUUCCUAGUGUAGCGGUGAAGUGCGUAGAUAUUAGGAGGAACACCAGUGGCGAAGGCGGCUUACUGGACUGUAACUGACGUUGAGGCUCGAAAGCGUGGGGAGCAAACAGG
rnacentral:rRNA from 1 species